UGAUUUUUUGCGGAAAAUUAAGUUUUUUAUUUAUGAAAGUUAAUUACAGUAUAACUUGAGUCAUACAUACGUGAUAGUGCGCGAUUAAAAUCGUUUUUUAGUCAAAUCAAUGCAAUUUUGAAAAUUUCUUGGUAAUUUGAGUGUAACGCUGUGGGUCUCGUAGUCAGAUUCGGAAUCCUGCUUUGGUUGAAGGUUUAAAUCACGGCACUUACACUGCCUACUGAAGCCGCCAGAAAGUUGAACAAAAUGGCGCCAUUAUAGAGAAAGUGGCGCGAAAAUGGUAUUCGAAGAGGACGCCGAUAUAGUGAGUUGUUUACUUAAGAAUGCUUGUUUACAUAAAUACUAUUUGCAAUCGUAACAUAUUAAAGUUCUAGUAAACAUUAAUUUUUAAUUUAUUAUACAAUCACUUUUCAAUAUUAUAAUAUAGCAAUAUAAUUUGCAAUAAAAAGUUCCAUGCAAAAGGACAGUUUCGUAUUUGUUAAGUAUUGUUGACCUUUAAUCAAAAUCAUUCUGUAUAUUUAAAAAAUAAUACGUUUAUAUAUAUCGGGAUUAUUUUUUAUCGCUAGCCGAUACAUUCUUUUCAAGAUCUUUUAAAAAUCGCAAAUUUUCGUCUAUGUUACGGUUGUGUUCCUCAAUUUUAUCACGCAUCGUUAUAACCUCAUCCUGCAUGCAUUUUACCUCCUCCUGUAGUUUUUGCUUUAGCAUGUCCAAUAAUUCUUUAUCCUGUAAAACAUAAAUGACUGUUAUGUUUUGACAAAUUUUUCGAUUUCUUAUAACGUUACCUGUUUGUAAUAAUAUUCGGCUUCGAAAGCAAUAUCGUUGUUCGAUACAUUAUUUUUAUUUGAAUCGCUAUAUUUUCUUUUAAGAUACUUGGAACUAAAGAAAAUGUAACAAAGUUUUAUAUUAAUUAUUUUGAAAUAGUGAGCAUAACCCAAAAGGUGCAAAACUAAUAGCAGUUGUUACUUAAUUAUUCGAAUAUAAUACUUACCUACUAGUCUCACAUGAUAAAGUACGUAAAAUAUAACGAAACAUUAUUUCUAACAAUUUAUAGAAAUUUAUAUGAAUAAAAAAAAAUCGUUCAAAAGGUUGAACUUAAAAAUUUUGCAGCUUUCUGUCACGAACAGUGAAACAUUUGAACACGAAUACCAUCGAAAAAUAAUCGAAUGAAUUACGUUUUAUUUUUAAUAUUUCACCUGAGAUGCAUGAAUAAGCAUUGCUGUUUUAAGUACAUGAAAAUAAACAGCUUACGGUUUUUAUUCAAUACAUUUUUUUAUAUUUAUAUUUAUGUAUAAUAUUUUGCAUCUAAAAAAAAGUAUAGAUAUGAAGUUCUAGUAUUACUAUCCAUAGUAUUUAAUAGCUUCAUUAUUAAAAAGAACAACUUCCUACUUAGAAAAGUAGGAAUUUUACAGCAGGGAAAUAGUAUUAGUGUUUGUCCAUGUCUGAAAUUCUUAGUUUGUGACGGUUUAUAGCUUCUUGAUGGCGCUUGAUUUGUUC